ACUUUAGGAUAGAUACUUAAUCUUCUCUUCUUUUUGUGGCAUGUAACAUUGACUCGAGUUCAUUGGACUCCAUCUCCCCUUUGCAUUUCUGCUAGGCCAUUGAGGCCCAAUAUCACCUCGUCUGAGAUCCCAUGCCAAAAUUUCAAAACGGGAUUGAUUUACGAUAAUAUACGGCGGAUAUACAGAUUUCACAGGGCAAAAAUGUAAAUGAAGGCAAGGAAGUGUAGAUACCAAUUUUAUACACUGAUAUAUAAUGUCUAUACAAAAAAUGCAAGG
rnacentral:lncRNA from 1 species